AACGAACGCUGGCGGCAUGCCUAACACAUGCAAGUCGAACGAGACCUUCGGGUCUAGUGGCGCACGGGUGCGUAACGCGUGGGAACCUGCCCUUAGGUUCGGAAUAACUCCCCGAAAGGGGUGCUAAUACCGGAUAAUGUCUUCGGACCAAAGAUUUAUCGCCUUUGGAUGGGCCCGCGUUGGAUUAGCUAGUUGGUAGGGUAAAAGCCUACCAAGGCGACGAUCCAUAGCUGGUAGGAGAGGAUGCUCAGCCACACUUGGACUGAGACACGGCCCAGACUCCUACGGGAGGCAGCAGUGGGGAAUAUUGGACAAGGGGCGAAAGCAUGACCAAGCAAUGCCGCGUGAGUGAUGAAGGCCGUAGGAUUGUAAAGCUCUUUUAGCCGGGAUGAUAAUGACGGUACCGGGUGAAUAAGCUCCGGCUAACUCCGUG
rnacentral:rRNA from 1 species